AGGUGAUUGGGAUCUGGAGAGUGAGCUGUGUUCAGGGGAUCUAGGUGUUUGAGAGUGUGAGCUGGAAAGUGAGCUGCGUUCAGGGGAUCUACGUGUUUGAGAGUGUGAGUUGGAAGCAGACAUUCAAGACAAAGGUGUUAAAGUUGGGAGGUCCUUUCUUCAUCUCUGGAGGUGGCAGUUGUUGACUAUGACCAUCCACAGUCAUCAACAUGCUUUUUUUACCCUGAAGCUGUCGAAAAAUACUGUGACUUAUGAGGAUUUUGAAAAAGAUAUGAUGAAUUGUACUUGCUAACAUUGAAGUACAAACCUGGAGGGGGUCAUGAUAUCCCUUACGUUGAUUCUGAGUCCAUAGCUGCAGUGGUGACUGAUUCCCCUCAGAGUGCAAUCGAUGGUGGUUCCAGCCGUCCUUGAAGAACUGCAGGUGCCUUUGGAUUUGUGGAAGAAAGUUCCAGUGCAGGGCAUAGAUGUGGGUCUCUUCAUCUAGUUUGAGUAGACCCUCCCUCUCCAGGUUGCAGAAAGAAGUAUAGAAGAGGUCCACCACCCCCAAAGACAUCACUCCACAGUCGUUCUAUCCUGGAUAAAGAGACAACGGUCCAAAGACAUCCCUCCACAGUCGUUCUAUCCUGGAUAAAGAGACAACGGUUCAAAGACAUCCCUCCACAGUCGUUCUAUCCUGGAUAAAGAGACAACGGUUCAAAGACAUCCCUCCACAGUCGUUCUAUCCUGGAUAAAGAGACAACGGUUCAAAGACAUCCCUCCACAGUCGUUCUAUCCUGGAUAAAGAGACAAAGGUCCAAAGACAUCCCUCCACAGUCGUUCUAUCCUGGAUAAAGAGACAACGGUCCAAAGACAUCCCUCCACAGUCGUUCUAUCCUGGAUAAAGAGACAAAGCAGAAAAGCACAAGAGUGUGAGAGAAAGAGAUAUGUCAUUAUUGUUAAUCAUAAAAUCACCACAGUUGUCUACAGUCACAACUCUUUCUAUGCAAAAGAAUGUUUACUAAUCAGAGCAAUUUAGCAUGUGACCUAACUCACUGGGGUGGCGUCUGCGCUGCAUUAAGUGCUCUACUAACCGCCACAGAGCAACGUUUAUGCCAGAGGCAUAUUCAACAAGCUGGGACAAUGAUCAGGAUGUAUUUGUUAUAUAUGUGUAAAGCCUAUGUGGCGUCUGCGCUGCAUUAAGUGCUCUACUAACCGCCACAGAGCAACUAAACCUAACAGAACCACAAUGUCAAUCUGAUAACUCAUUGGCUUCUUAAACAUGUUUUUAUGCAAAUUAACAAAACAUAAUUGGCCUUUUAAGCUAAUAAGGUUGAUUUGAAGAAGUAUGAAAAU
rnacentral:lncRNA from 1 species